rnacentral:rRNA from 1 species
GUCCUGAAGGAACGUUGAAGACGACGACGUUGAUAGGCCGGGUGUGUAAGCGCAGCGAUGCGUUGAGCUAACCGGUACUAAUGAACCGUGAGGCUUAACCUUACAACGCCGAAGAUGUUUUG